rnacentral:rRNA from 1 species
CGCGGGAUUGGGGGACGGGGUGCAGCUGGCGCGAAAACUUUACAAUGCGGGGAACCGCGAUAAGGGGAUACUGAGUGCCAGCAUAUUAUGUUGGCUGUCCACCUGUAUAAACAGCAGGUGUUAGCAAGGGCCGGGCAAGACCGGUGCCAGCCGCCGCGGUAACACCGGCGGCCCGAGUGGUGGCCACUAUUAUUGGGUCUAAAGGGUCCGUAGCCGGUUUGAUCAGUCUUCCGGGAAAUCUGACAGCUCAACUGUUAGGCUUCCGGGGGAUACUGUCAGACUUGGGACCGGGAGAGGUAAGAGGUACUACAGGGGUAGGAGUGAAAUCUUGUAAUCCUUGUGGGACCACCAGUGGCGAAGGCGUCUUACCAGAACGGGUCCGACGGUGAGGGACGAAAGCUGGGGGCACGAACCGGAUUAGAUACCCGGGUAGUCCCAGCCGUAAACGAUGCUCGCUAGGUGUCUGGGACGGUGCGACCGUUUCAGGUGCCGCAGGGAAGCCGUGAAGCGAGCCACCUGGGAAGUACGGCCGCAAGGCUGAAACUUAAAGGAAUUGGCGGGGGAGCACUACAACGGGUGGAGCCUGCGGUUUAAUUGGACUCAACGCCGGAAAACUCACCUGGGGCGACAGCAAUAUGUAGGUCAGGCUGAAGGUCUUACCUGAAUCGCUGAGAGGAGGUGCAUGGCCGUCGUCAGUUCGUACUGCGAAGCAUCCUGUUAAGUCAGGCAACGAGCGAGACCCGUGCCCACUGUUGCCAGCAUAUCCUUCGGGAUGAUGGGUACUCUGUGGGGACCGCUGGUGCUAAACCAGAGGAAGGUGCGGGCUACGGUAGGUCAGUAUGCCCCGAAUCUCCAGGGCUACACGCGGGCUACAAUGACCGGGACAAUGGGUCCCUACCCCGAAAGGGGUUGGUAAUCUCAUAAACCCGGCCUUAGUUCGAAUUGAGGGCUGUAACUCGCCCUCAUGAAGCUGGAAUCCGUAGUAAUCGCGUUUCAAUAUAGCGCGGUGAAUACGUCCCUGCUCCUUGCACGAAUUCGCCGAAUCACUAGU